GUGAAUUAGAGUCGUCUUUAUGACGCUCAACCCCUCACUUUCUAACUCUGUGCACUUUGUUGGUCAGCCGCAAGGAAACGCGUUCAAUAGAGCGUUAUUACCGCGCGGCUUGACUCCAUUACCUUUUAAACAUCAGUCAAUGAAUGUAAACAAUACAAAACAAAAA
rnacentral:misc_RNA from 1 species